UUUAUAUUUGGUUGCAUAAUACAAGCAAAGUAUUGAUUUGUGUCGAAGUAUCACUCAAACAAUUAAAAGAAGUAGGAAGUUGAAACAUGAGAAAAGUAGUGCAAAUAGCUUUUGAAAAUCAUCUCUAGAUUUACAUAUUUCAAUUCUGAAUCCUCAGCCAGGAGUAUAGUUUCAGAAGUAGGUGCUAUUCAAGGAAAUAGAAAUAUAAAACCGACAUUGUAAUGGGUAUUGGAUUUAUUUAUGGUGGGUAAGGAUCUAGUUAUGUAGGAUCCUUCAGACAAUGUAGUGGGGAAAUGGAUUUAUGUGGCCGACCUCAAAUUUGUUGGAGCAAGGCUUAUUUUGUUUUAUGCUGUAUUCCCUUUAUUUGUGCAGUUGAUAGUUUUUAGCGAUUUGUUAUUUUCAUUCAUAAUUUGUUGACAGUUUUGAUUUUACUGUUCGGAUGAAACCAUAUAUAUACACACUUGCGAAACAUGUAUAUAAAUCUAGGAUUGUGUAUAUUUAUAUGAGCUAAAAUUGAUGUGACAAGGUCUCUAAGACACUCCUAGAAGAAAGGGAGCUCGAGUUCUACCAAUGGGAGGGAGAUGCAGAAGAAUUGUUGAAACGUGUUCGUAAUAACCUAAACGCACUUGGAGAGCACUGGUCGAGAGAUGAGAAAAAUAAAUGCUUAAGAGAAGCAACAAAAGCAUUCCGGUAUUUGGGGCAGAUAGUGCGGUUAAUUAUAUUGUAAACUGGAGCCUUUUCAGCCAAUAGAAUCUUAAUCAUUCCUUGAGGUGAGCAACAACAAAGUCUUUGCAGGAUCUCUCUGAUCUUGAGAUCAAUGAAAAAGAGACUAAUUGCUCGUGUUCAUCUUUUCCUUCACUCACCAAGUUUCUGUAAUUGUUAAUUUAGGAUUUCACAAUCUAACAUAGAUAAUUAGAAGUUUGUGGUUGCAUAUAGGGACUACACUUUUCAUACAUCCCAAGUUAUCUUCUCUUAUAAAAAUGGUGAUUUUUUAAUUUUUUCAGAUUGCCCUUUUUCACUGUCAAAGUUAAAAGAGUCUGACUACAAAACUUUUUGUUGUCAACGCCUUCUUUUCACUUCUUUUGUUGAGUUUACCCUUAUUACAAUUCUUCAAUUUAUUACCUUCUCCCAAUUACCUACCUCAUCCUCUCCCUACCCAUUGGCCACCCCUUCCCCACCCUGCCCUCAUUUAAACCGACAUGGGGGCAGCAUUAGGAUGAGGGUGGUGAAGAAGGAUCAAGGGAUCUCAUUUGAAUUUUGACGAAGAAAAGGGACUACUUGAUUCUGAAAGAAAGCCUCAUUUCUUUUUCUCUCUCGAAUAUGUUCUUUCCCAUAGAAUAAGCUCUAUAAUAAGGCAGUAGAUGGAAAUCUUGUUGAAUUAAAUUAGGCUAAUCUGGAUGUAAAGAAUUUCAACCCUGAAACAUUUUGAUCCCAUCUCUGCUAUUCUCUUGACCAGGCGAUAUUUAGUGGGGAUUGUGGUCGCACCGGACCACCAAGCAAUUUUCUAGACUGAAUGCAUUGCCUAGCAAUGUAUCAACAAAUAUGAAGGGACUCAAUUUUCUGAUUUUGAUGCAGACUCAGACGUUACUUACAUGAAAUUCUUGAUAGAUAGCAAUGCUCAGGAAAGAGAAAUUGCUACUGCUCUUGGGCAUCAGUGCCUUCUAGAUUUCACUCUCAGCUUUUGUCAAGCUGAGCACUCAGAUAUUUGCAUUAGAUACCGGACAGUGGUAUGUGUAUACAGUGUAUUGGAGGAAACUGUAGAAAGGGGUGUUGCUUGACUUCGAACGUUUCUCUUUAACUAGACUUUUGUGUAAGCUAUAACUCUGCAUCUCUGAUAAAAUUGCUUUAAUUGCUGGUUUGGACUGUUGGUGCAUUGAUUGUUGUUCUCAGUGACUAUAUUGAUCUUAUACAUUUAUUUGUUUAAAUUUCAUAUUCAA